GGAAACGAAAUCAAAACCACAAUGAGAUACCACUUCAUACCAACUAAAAUGGCUAUAAUCAGAAAGACAUAUAAUAAAAAGGAUUACAAGUGUGUAAAGA